GGAAAAUCAAGGCUGAGGCGUGAUGACGAGGCACUGCGGUGCUGAAGCAACAAAUGCCCUGCUUCCAGGAAAAGCCUCUAAGCAUCAGGUAACAUCAAAUCGUACCCCAAACCGACACAGGUGGUCAGGUAGAGAAUACCAAGGCGCUUGAGAGAACUCGGGUGAAGGAACUAGGCAAAAUGGUGCCGUAACUUCGGGAGAAGGCACGCUGAUAUGUAGGUGAAGUCCCUCGCGGAUGGAGCUGAAAUCAGUCGAAGAUACCAGCUGGCUGCAACUGUUUAUUAAAAACACAGCACUGUGCAAACACGAAAGUGGACGUAUACGGUGUGACGCCUGCCCGGUGCCGGAAGGUUAAUUGAUGGGGUUAGCGCAAGCGAAGCUCUUGAUCGAAGCCCCGGUAAACGGCGGCCGUAACUAUAACGGUCCUAAGGUAGCGAAAUUCCUUGUCGGGUAAGUUCCGACCUGCACGAAUGGCGUAAUGAUGGCCAGGCUGUCUCCACCCGAGACUCAGUGAAAUUGAACUCGCUGUGAAGAUGCAGUGUACCCGCGGCAAGACGGAAAGACCCCGUGAACCUUUACUAUAGCUUGACACUGAACAUUGAGCCUUGAUGUGUAGGAUAGGUGGGAGGCUUUGAAGUGUGGACGCCAGUCUGCAUGGAGCCGACCUUGAAAUACCACCCUUUAAUGUUUGAUGUUCUAACGUUGACCCGUAAUCCGGGUUGCGGACAGUGUCUGGUGGGUAGUUUGACUGGGGCGGUCUCCUCCUAAAGAGUAACGGAGGAGCACGAAGGUUGGCUAAUCCUGGUCGGACAUCAGGAGGUUAGUGCAAUGGCAUAAGCCAGCUUGACUGCGAGCGUGACGGCGCGAGCAGGUGCGAAAGCAGGUCAUAGUGAUCCGGUGGUUCUGAAUGGAAGGGCCAUCGCUCAACGGAUAAAAGGUACUCCGGGGAUAACAGGCUGAUACCGCCCAAGAGUUCAUAUCGACGGCGGUGUUUGGCACCUCGAUGUCGGCUCAUCACAUCCUGGGGCUGAAGUAGGUCCCAAGGGUAUGGCUGUUCGCCAUUUAAAGUGGUACGCGAGCUGGGUUUAGAACGUCGUGAGACAGUUCGGUCCCUAUCUGCCGUGGGCGCUGGAGAACUGAGGGGGGCUGCUCCUAGUACGAGAGGACCGGAGUGGACGCAUCACUGGUGUUCGGGUUGUCAUGCCAAUGGCACUGCCCGGUAGCUAAAUGCGGAAGAGAUAAGUGCUGAAAGCAUCUAAGCACGAAACUUGCC
rnacentral:rRNA from 1 species